rnacentral:lncRNA from 10 species
AGACCCUGCCUUGUAUGCCUAGCAACAUGUGAAGAUUUCUAUUUCUAAAUCCAGUCAUUCCAGUUGUACUUAUUACUGUCAUUAUGCAGUCUCAUUAAAUAUUAUUAAAAGCAAUUAUUAUGGAUAUGAAGAACAAAAGAUCUACUUCCUCUACAAAAACCAAAUCAAAUGCAUUGAAAAGAGACAAUAAAGUCAGGUCACCUUAAAAAUAAAUACUGUCAUCUUAAGUUUGACCAAGACAACCAUAAAAGAUUGAGGAAGGAAAUCAGAUCAUUUAAAAAUGGGAAGAAUAGUGGUCUUAGAUUGCUUUGUAAGUUUCUGUAAGUUCCUCCUUCACCUAAGAAACUGAAGCUUCACAUGGCCAAUGAUGCUGUGUAGGUGUCACUUGUCUGUGAGAGCCAAUGAAGAACAUUAAUCAGAAGAACCAAACUCAAGAACAAGGUCAUUUCCUGCUUCACAAGGGCCAUCUUUACUUUGAAAGAUACAGAAAGACUGUGUAUAUCCUUGCUUGUGAUCUUCCCAAUCAGUAGCAUCUGUUUCUAGGUCAGAUGGCAUACAAGUUCCUCCUCUGCUAAGAGUUACUGCUUUUGUGCCUCCCCAAAAAGAUAUAAUAAAAAUAAGAUUGAAUAUGGUCUUUUAA